rnacentral:lncRNA from 1 species
GUUCCCAGGCCAGGGGUCCAAUCGGACCUACAGCUGCGGGACUAUACCACAGCCACAGCAAUGCCAGAUCCGAGUCGCGUCUGCAACCUACACCACAGCUCACAGCAACAUCGGAUCCUUAACCCACUGAGUGAGGACGGGGAUGGAACCCGCAACCUCAUGGUUUCUUGUCCGAUUUGUUUCCACUGAGCCACCACAAGAACUCCCACCUUUUUUUUUUUUUUUUGAUGGGUGCACCCGAGGGAUAUGGAAGCCCCCAGCCAGGGAUGGAACCCAAGCCUCAGCUACAACCUAUGCCAGAGGUGCGGCAAUGCUGGAUCCUUUCACUCACUGUGCCAGGCUGGGGACUGAACCAGCGCCUCUGCAGUAACUGGAGCUGCUACAGGUGGAUUCUGAACCCACUGCACCACAGUGGGAGUGCCCCGUUGCAUACAUUUCAAAAGUAAAAUGGACAGUUCAUGAACGUGCCUUACUGUCACUUGCCUUUUAAAACACAGAAGACCUGCCUUCCAGGCUUCAGGGGCUGGCGUCUCGUCGGGUGAGACUGCACCGAGCUGCCCUUCCCUCAGGGGGGCUCUGCCCCGUGACCACCACCCAGAGGGGAGCUGUCAGUCGGCUGGAUGGUCAUCUGGGGGAGGACAGGACAGACCACUGGCCACUCAAGGGAGCAGCAGGUGGGUCUGACCAAGAGACAGGUUUGCCUGAUGACACACGGAGACUCUGAGACCAGUUUAAGGUACGCCACGAGCACAAGGUCUAAAUCACAGAUGCUGGAGUUCCUGUCGUGGCACAGGGGUUAACGAAUCCGACUAGGAACCCUGAGGUUGCAGAUUCAUUUCCUCUGCGCCACAACGGGGAACUCCACAUCAUGUGAUCAUUUUAAAUAGAGAGACAAAGUCUCACCUUAGAUAAAUCCCACCUUGUCCCCUUACCCCAGCCUCACUGCGCUUUAGUCACUGAUUCAACAAACACCUGUGGAGCAUUCACUCCAGCCCAGGACCAAUGCAGGCAUCUCAGGCCGGAGCCCUGGAGAGGCACCAUCAGCAUCCUGUCAGGCGGGUGGUCAGCCCAGGAGCCAGUGCGGAGGCCUGACCUCAAGUUCUAGGUCUGGGACUGAGCACAGAGCACCCAUCCUGUGUGAGCGAGGGGCACUCAAGAACAAAAAGGGCUGAGAGAGACCCAGUGCACUGACAGAACGAACGAAAACCAAGAAAAUAAACUCACUCUGCGUGAAGAUUCUGCAAACGACUCAAGUCCUUUAGUCACAAAGCAGGAUUCAGUGUGCUCACAACAGCCUCACAGCAGAGAGCGAGCCGAGGGUCAGGAACGGCUCACUUCCCUGUGACUCGAACAGUUUACUGCAUCUCACGCCACUUCAUCAACAAAUGAACAGCAUGUGGGCUUUACCUGGGGCGGGGGGCGGCAAAGACAAAACUUCUAAAAGCAUCGUUAUAGUGGCAGAUCAGACAAAACCUUUUGGUUCUGAGCAAACUCAGGACUAAAAGUGGCAAAAAGAUUUACAGGGAGGUCCCGCACAGAUCACCUCUGCGCCCUGCCUCUGGACUGGCUGUCCUCUCCUGAGAGGGAGCUGACUUGCCACGGACCUCCCUCAGCACCCAGCGCCCAACUAUUCAGCACUCACCCACAACGACUUCCCAGUGACAAGGUCGUUGUGCUGCAGAGCUGCUGCUAAGCUCAUCACUCUCCUUCAUUCGACCAGUGUUUACCGGGCACAGAGUGUGUGCCAGGAACUGUUCUUCGCACCAAACAGCCACCCUGUGGACCUUACCCCACAGUAAAGGAUUACGCGUAACAAACGUACUAAAGAGACUUCAGAAGAAUUAAGUGCUGUGGGAAAUUAAACAGGAAAGGGAAUCAGGAAACCGGAGGUGGCGAGCUGGAAUUCUAGGUAAGAUAGGGAAGGCCUGCCCUCACUGGGCCUAAGAGUGAGGAAGUGAGGGAUCCGGGCAGAUCCGAGGACAGAGCACAUGAGUCUGUUGAGAGAAUGGCCAAGAGGCCAUGGCGGUGGGGGUCAGAGGGUGGCAAGGGGCGUCCCUCCCCAACAAAGGUGCCCA